rnacentral:rRNA from 1 species
CCUACGGGAGGCAGCAGUGGGGAAUUUUGGACAAUGGGCGAAAGCCUGAUCCAGCAAUGCCGCGUGAGUGAAGAAGGCCUUCGGGUUGUAAAGCUCUUUUGUCAGGGAAGAAACGGUGUGGGCUAAUAUCCCGCACUAAUGACGGUACCUGAAGAAUAAGCACCGGCCAACUACGUGCCAGCAGCCGCGGUAAUACGUAGGGUGCAAGCGUUAAUCGGAAUUACUGGGCGUAAAGCGUGCGCAGGCGGUUUUGUAAGUUUGUCGUGAAAGCCCCGGGCUCAACCUGGGAAUUGCGAUGAAGACUGCAAGGCUUGAAUCUGGCAGAGGGGGGUAGAAUUCCACGUGUAGCAGUGAAAUGCGUAGAGAUGUGGAGGAACACCGAUGGCGAAGGCAGCCCCCUGGGUCAAGAUUGACGCUCAUGCACGAAAGCGUGGGGAGCAAACAGGAUUAGAUACCCUGGUAGUCCACGCCCUAAACGAUGUCUACUAGUUGUCGGGUUUUAAUUAACUUGGUAACGCAGCUAACGCGUGAAGUAGACCGCCUGGGGAGUACGGUCGCAAGNUUAAAACUUAAAUGAAUUGACGG